ensembl:lncRNA
CAGCCUCCACAACUGUGAGAAACAAGUGCCUCUCUUUUUGGACAUAUUCACAGCAAAUUACCACUUGCUUCUCUGGCAGAAUUAUGUUACCUUUCUUAUUCUAGAUGCCAGGUAGUAUCAGGAGGUCACUAUUUUUAGUGAUGCACUUUGUUGCUUUGAAAAAAAUGAGAACUUAUUAUUAAUGAUGAAGAGCAAAAUAAAUAUUACUUAGGUAAGUAACAGUGUACACCUGCUAUAAACAGAAUGUUUGUGUCCUUCUAGAAUGCAUAUGCUGAAACCUAAUCCCAGUGUGAUGGUAUUUGGAAGCUGGGUCUUUGAGAUAAAGGUAGAGUUCUCAAGAAUGGGAUUAAUGCACUUAUAAGAAGAGUCCAGAGAGCUAGCUUGCUUUCUUUCCACCACGUGAGGAUACAGAAGAUGGCAGUCUGCAACUAGAAGACCCUCACCAGCAUCUUACCAUGUUGCUGCCCUGAUCUUGGAAUUCCAGCCUCUACAACUAGGGAGGAAACCCCAAGCCUUGGCAGCUUUCACGUGGUGUUGAGCCUGCGGGUGCAUAGAAGUCAAGAAGUGACAUUUGAAAACCUCCGCCUACAUUUCAGAAGAUGUAUGGAAACACCUAGAUGCCCAGGCAGGAGUUUGCUGCAGGGGCACAGAGUCCUCAUAGAGAACCUCCAAUAGGGUAGUGCAGAAAAGAAAUGUGGGGUCAGAGUCCCCACACAGAGUCCCUACUGGGAUAUUGCCUAGUGGAGCUGUGAGAAGAGGGCCACUGUCCUUCAGACACCAGAAUGGUAGAUCUACUGACAGCUUGCACUGUGCACCUGGAAAAGCCACAGACACUCAACAACAGCCCGUGAAAGCCAUUGGGAGGUAGGCUGUACCCUGCAAAGUUACAAGAGUGGAGCUGCCCAAGUCCAUGGGAACCGACCACUAGCAUCAACAUGACCUAGAUGUGAGAAUGGAGUCAAAGAAGACCAUUUUGGAGCUUUAAGAUUUGAUUGCCCUGCUGGAUUUUGGACUUGCAUGGGGCCUAUAGUCCCUUCAGUUUUGCCAAUUUCUCCCAUUUGGAAUGGCUGUAUUUAGCCAUCAACUGUGCCCCAAUGGUAUCUAGGAAGUUACUAACUUGCUUUUGGCUUUACAGGCUCAUAGGCAGAGGGGCCUUGCCUUAUCUCAGAUGAGACAUUGGAUUGUGGACUUCUGAGUUAGUGCUGAAAUGAAUUAAGACUUUGGGGGAUUGUUGGGAAAGCAUGACUGGUUUUGAAAUGUGAGGACAUGAAAUUUGGGAGGCAUGAGGGGCAGAAUGAUAUGGUUUGGCUGUGUCCUCACACAAAUCUCAUCUUGAAUUCACACAUGUUAUGGGAGGGACCCAGUGGGAGGUAAUUGAAUUAUGGGGGCAGGUCUUUCUCAUGCUGUCCUCAUGAUAGUUAAUAAGUUUCACAAGAUAUGAUGGUUUUAUAAAGAGGAGUCUCCCUACACAAACUCUCUCUUUGUCUGCUACCAUCCAUGUAAGACAUGACUUGCUCCUCCUUGCCUUCUGCCAUGAUUAUGAGGCUUCCCCAGCCAAAUGGAACUGUAAGUCUAUUAAACCCCUUUCUUCUGUAAAUUGCCCAGUCUCAGGUACGUCUUUAUCAGCAGCCUGAAAACAGCCUAAUACAAUCUCCAACCCAAUAUUGAGCACAAGUUGCGAUGGCAUGUAAACUUGUAUUGUGCCUAAAUUUAAAUGGACUAAAUUGUAUUGGUAAGAUAUAUUUGAGUCCUCACAAAAGCCCUGUGAGAAAGUAGGCAGUUAUUAGCCCCAUUGUAGAGGUGCAAGGGUCAGUCUGUCACUAAGAGUUGAAAUAAACAGGAUCAGUAUUAUGCAACUCAAGUUUUAGAGCUAGAAUUUUCAUCUAGGUCCAUUGAUUCCAACACUUGUAUUCUUAACCACUGUAUUCCCAGUAUACCUUCACUGCGUGCAUGAAUCUGUGUAUUUACAAAACCAAGAACUAAAAUAACCUAUGUUCCUUUAGAGUUUCUUUUUACUCUAAAAAAAUAGUUGAAUCAUUUUUAAAAACAAAAACUUACAUGGAACCCAAAUAAGUAAAACAGAUACAAGUGAGAUUGCUCUGGUUAAACCAGAUACAUAACCCAGAGCUGGGUCUGUUCUGUCUAUUCCAUUCACCCUAGUAUCCUUGCUUAAGGUGUCUAUGAAUUCCAUAGCACCUGAAACAGUAUCUGAAACCAUCGAUUUAUCUCUCCUUUUUUACGCAGAUAAGUAGACGAUUGUGUUAUUUUUUAUUUUUAUUUAUUUAUUUAUUUGAGAUGGAGUCUUGCUCUUUCUCCAGGCUGGAGUGCAGUGGCACCAUCUUGGCUCACUGCAACCUUUGUCUCCCGGAUUCAAGUGAUUCCCCUGCCUCAGUCUCCUGAGUAGCUGGCACUACAGGCACAUGCAACUACACCUGGCUAAUUUUUUGUAUUUUAGCAGAGAUGGGGUUUCACCAUGGCCAGAAUGGUCUUGAUCUUCUGACCUCAUGAUCCGCCCGCCUCGGCCUCCCAAAGUGCUGGGAUUACAGGCAUGAGCCACCGCGCCUGGCCCAUGCCUGUUUGUCUUAUUUGAUAGGAAUUGAUACUUAAAGACAAAUCCUCCCUACAUCCAUGUUCCCCCUCUCAGUUA